UUUUAUUCAAGAAGGUCAAGAACAAAAACCUCCUAGGUUUUUGUUCAAGAAGGCAGAGACGUCACUGCAUGGGCAUGACUGCCAAUAGCCCGGGAGAGCCAGCAGGCCUGUCUCUUCUCUUCAGUCUUCUUGGCCUCUCUGUGCAGCCUUCCAUCCUCCAAGGGAGAGGAAAGGAACAGGCUUUUCCUGAGGAUGGAUCUGCAUCAGGAAUCCAGCGGUGCUAGGCUUUGGAAGGUUGAGGUUUUUGUUCAAGAAGGCAGAGACAGAAAGUGCCCCAGUGAG
rnacentral:lncRNA from 1 species